GCAAGAAAGCUGUUUGAUCAAAUUCCUCAAAAGAAUGUUGUUUCAUGGACCUCCAUGAUAACUGGCUAUGUCCAAAAUGACCGCCCUCAUGAAGCAAUCUGGCUUUUCAAAGAGCUAUUGGCAGGAGAAGUAGUUUUUCUUGACUCAGUCGCCAUGGUUUCCGUGCUCUCCGCUUCUUCUCGUCUUUCAGGGAAGACCCUUACCCAAGGGCUCCAUGGC
rnacentral:misc_RNA from 1 species